GAUGAACGCUGGCGGCGUGCUUAACACAUGCAAGUCGAACGAAGCACUGUUGAUAGAUUCUUCGGAUGAUAGAUACAGUGACUGAGUGGCGGACGGGUGAGUAACGCGGGGGUAACCUGCCUCAUACAGGGGGAUAACAGUUAGAAAUGACUGCUAAUACCGCAUAAGCGCACAGUACUGCAUGGUACAGUGUGAAAAACUCCGGUGGUAUGAGAUGGACCCGCGUCUGAUUAGCUAGUUGGUGGGGUAACGGCCCACCAAGGCGACGAUCAGUAGCCGACCUGAGAUGGUGACCGGCCACAUGGGGACUGAGACACGGCCCAAACUCCUACGGGAGGCAGCAGUGGGGAAUAUUGCACAAUGGGCGAAAGCCUGAUGCAGCGACGCCGCGUGAGCGAAGAAGUAUUUCGGUAUGUAAAGCUCUAUCAGCAGGGAAGAAAUGACGGUACCUGACUAAGAAGCACCGGCUAAAUACGUGCCAGCAGCCGCCGUAAUAC
rnacentral:rRNA from 1 species